rnacentral:rRNA from 1 species
UUCUUCUGGAGGGCUCAGGGCUCGAGCAUUCACGCGUUUGACAAUCUGCCGCUACUUUUCCAUCAUUGGCCCCCUUUUAUCACUUUUAACCCCUUGUACUUCUUUGUACUGAACCAAUUCUUCGAUGCUCUCUUCUGGAGAGUGACGAAAGAUAUUACGAAACUUAAGAACAACUCUUAGCAACGGAUAUCUUGGUUCCCGCAACGAUGAAGAACGCAGCGAAAUGCGAUACGUAAUGCGAAUUGCAGAAUUCAGUGAAUCAUCAAAUCUUUGAACGCAAAUUGCACUCUCGGGUAUCCCUGGGAGUACGCUUCUUUCAGUAUCGGUUCUAUCUAAACUCGCCUGCGUUUUGAUUUCGAUCAAGGCUAAAGGCGGAAAUUGAGCGUCAUGCUUGAACGAGCGUGUUGCUUGAAGGGUAGAAGCGGUAGUCUUCCCUUUUCUCGUUCACGAGAACUCUGAGUGCGCCGUUCUCUCUUCUCGAAGGAGCUGGAGCAAACUGAGUGACGUGGUUAAGUUCGCCUCCGUGCGACACCACCAUCGUCUCUUAAUCUCAGUGCGCUACAGUUGGACACUGUCUGAGCUGGGAGACAAUCACACUGCUUUGGAAUAAUAACCCAAAACAAAAUCAGAUCUGAAAUGAAGUGAGAGGACCCGCUGAACUUAAGCAUAUCAAUAAGCGGAGGA